GAUGAACGCUGGCGGCGUGCCUAAUACAUGCAAGUCGAGCGAACGGACGAGAAGCUUGCUUCUCUGAUGUUAGCGGCGGACGGGUGAGUAACACGUGGAUAACCUACCUAUAAGACUGGGAUAACUUCGGGAAACCGGAGCUAAUACCGGAUAAUAUUUUGAACCGCAUGGUUCAAAAGUGAAAGACGGUCUUGCUGUCACUUAUAGAUGGAUCCGCGCUGCAUUAGCUAGUUGGUAAGGUAACGGCUUACCAAGGCAACGAUGCAUAGCCGACCUGAGAGGGUGAUCGGCCACACUGGAACUGAGACACGGUCCAGACUCCUACGGGAGGCAGCAGUAGGGAAUCUUCCGCAAUGGGCGAAAGCCUGACGGAGCAACGCCGCGUGAGUGAUGAAGGUCUUCGGAUCGUAAAACUCUGUUAUUAGGGAAGAACAUAUGUGUAAGUAACUGUGCACAUCUUGACGGUACCUAAUCAGAAAACCACGGCUAACUACGUGCCAGCAGCCGCGGUAAUACGUAGGUGGCAAGCGUUAUCCGGAAUUAUUGGGCGUAAAGCGCGCGUAGGCGGUUUUUUAAGUCUGAUGUGAAAGCCCACGGCUCAACCGUGGAGGGUCAUUGGAAACUGGAAAACUUGAGUGCAGAAGAGGAAAGUGGAAUUCCAUGUGUAGCGGUGAAAUGCGCAGAGAUAUGGAGGAACACCAGUGGCGAAGGCGACUUUCUGGUCUGUAACUGACGCUGAUGUGCGAAAGCGUGGGGAUCAAACAGGAUUAGAUACCCUGGUAGUCCACGCCGUAAACGAUGAGUGCUAAGUGUUAGGGGGUUUCCGCCCCUUAGUGCUGCAGCUAACGCAUUAAGCACUCCGCCUGGGGAGUACGACCGCAAGGUUGAAACUCAAAGGAAUUGACGGGGACCCGCACAAGCGGUGGAGCAUGUGGUUUAAUUCGAAGCAACGCGAAGAACCUUACCAAAUCUUGACAUCCUUUGACAACUCUAGAGAUAGAGCUUUCCCCUUCGGGGGACAAAGUGACAGGUGGUGCAUGGUUGUCGUCAGCUCGUGUCGUGAGAUGUUGGGUUAAGUCCCGCAACGAGCGCAACCCUUAAGCUUAGUUGCCAUCAUUAAGUUGGCCACUCUAAGUUGACUGCCGGUGACAAACCGGAGGAAGGUGGGGAUGACGUCAAAUCAUCAUGCCCCUUAUGAUUUGGGCUACACACGUGCUACAAUGGACAAUACAAAGGGCAGCGAAACCGUGAGGUCAAGCAAAUCCCAUAAAGUUGUUCUCAGUUCGGAUUGUAGUCUGCAACUCGACUACAUGAAGCUGGAAUCGCUAGUAAUCGUAGAUCAGCAUGCUACGGUGAAUACGUUCCCGGGUCU
rnacentral:rRNA from 1 species